GCUUGCACCUUUCAAGUGAGUGGCGAACGGGUGAGUAACACGUGGACAACCUGCCUCAAGGCUGGGGAUAACAUUUGGAAACAGAUGCUAAUACCGAAUGAAACUUAGUGUCGCAUGAUACGAAGUUAAAAGGCGCUUUGGCGUCACCUAGAGAUGGAUCCGCGGUGCAUUAGUUAGUUGGUGGGGUAAAGGCCUACCAAGACAAUGAUGCAUAGCCGAGUUGAGAGACUGAUCGGCCACAUUGGGACUGAGACACGGCCCAAACUCCUACGGGAGGCUGCAGUAGGGAAUCUUCCACAAUGGGCGAAAGCCUGAUGGAGCAACGCCGCGUGUGUGAUGAAGGCUUUCGGGUCGUAAAGCACUGUUGUAUGGGAAGAACAGCUAGAAUAGGGAAUGAUUUUAGUUUGACGGUACCAUACCAGAAAGGGACGGCUAAAUACGUGCCAGCAGCCGCGGUAAUACGUAUGUCCCGAGCGUUAUCCGGAUUUAUUGGGCGUAAAGCGAGCGCAGACGGUUGAUUAAGUCUGAUGUGAAAGCCCGGAGCUCAACUCCGGAAUGGCAUUGGAAACUGGUUAACUUGAGUGCAGUAGAGGUAAGUGGAACUCCAUGUGUAGCGGUGGAAUGCGUAGAUAUAUGGAAGAACACCAGUGGCGAAGGCGGCUUACUGGACUGUAACUGACGUUGAGGCUCGAAAGUGUGGGUAGCAAACAGGAUUAGAUACCCUGGUAGUCCACACCGUAAACGAUGAACACUAGGUGUUAGGAGGUUUCCGCCUCUUAGUGCCGAAGCUAACGCAUUAAGUGUUCCGCCUGGGGAGUACGACCGCAAGGUUGAAACUCAAAGGAAUUGACGGGGACCCGCACAAGCGGUGGAGCAUGUGGUUUAAUUCGAAGCAACGCGAAGAACCUUACCAGGUCUUGACAUCCUUUGAAGCUUUUAGAGAUAGAAGUGUUCUCUUCGGAGACAAAGUGACAGGUGGUGCAUGGUCGUCGUCAGCUCGUGUCGUGAGAUGUUGGGUUAAGUCCCGCAACGAGCGCAACCCUUAUUGUUAGUUGCCAGCAUUCAGAUGGGCACUCUAGCGAGACUGCCGGUGACAAACCGGAGGAAGGCGGGGACGACGUCAGAUCAUCAUGCCCCUUAUGACCUGGGCUACACACGUGCUACAAUGGCGUAUACAACGAGUUGCCAACCCGCGAGGGUGAGCUAAUCUCUUAAAGUACGUCUCAGUUCGGAUUGUAGUCUGCAACUCGACUA
rnacentral:rRNA from 1 species